AAGGAUCAUUGUCGAACCCUGCAAAGCAGAACGACCCGUGAACACGUAAAAACAACCGAGCGUCGGUUGGACCAGGCGCUUGUUUGGUCCUCUCGACGCUUUGUUGACGCGCAUUCACUCGAGUUCUUUUGGACCUUGUGAAUGCGUCGUUGGCGCAUUAACAACCCCCGGCACAAUGUGUGCCAAGGAAAACUAAACUCUAGAAGGCUCGUUUUCAUGCUGCCCCCGUUUGCGGUGUGCUCAUGUGACGCGGCUUCUUUAUAAUCACAAACGACUCUCGGCAACGGAUAUCUCGGCUCAC
rnacentral:misc_RNA from 1 species